rnacentral:rRNA from 1 species
GACGAACGCUGGCGGCGUGCUUAACACAUGCAAGUCGAACGAUGAACCCGGAGCUUGCUCCGGUGGAUUAGUGGCGAACGGGUGAGUAACACGUGAGUAACCUGCCCUUGACUCUGGGAUAACUGCGGGAAACUGUAGCUAAUACCGGAUACGACCCUCGGCGGCAUCGCCAGGGGGUGGAAAGAAUUUCGGUCAAGGAUGGACUCGCGGCCUAUCAGCUAGUUGGUGAGGUAACGGCUCAGCAAGGCGACGACGGGUAGCCGGCCUGAGAGGGUGACCGGCCACACUGGGACUGAGACACGGCCCAGACUCCGACGGGAGGCGGCAGUGGGGAAUAUUGCACAAUGGGCGCAAGCCUGAUGCAGCAACGCCGCGUGAGGGAUGACGGCCUUCGGGUUGUAAACCUCUUUUAGUAGGGAAGAAGCGAAAGUGACGGUACCUGCAGAAAAAGCACCGGCUAACUACGUGCCAGCCGCCGCCGUAA